rnacentral:rRNA from 1 species
GACGAACGCUGGCGGCGUGCCUAAUACAUGCAAGUCGAACGAGAGCGACCGGUGCUUGCACUGGUCAAUCUAGUGGCGAACGGGUGAGUAACACGUGGGUAACCUGCCCAUCAGAGGGGGAUAACAUCCGGAAACGGAUGCUAAAACCGCAUAGGUCUUCGAACCGCAUGGUUUGAAGAGGAAAAGAGGCGCAAGCUUCUGCUGAUGGAUGGACCCGCGGUGCAUUAGCUAGUUGGUGAGGUAACGGCUCACCAAGGCCGUGAUGCAUAGCCGACCUGAGAGGGUGAUCGGCCACAUUGGGACUGAGACACGGCCCAGACUCCUACGGGAGGCAGCAGUAGGGAAUCUUCCGCAAUGGACGCAAGUCUGACGGAGCAACGCCGCGUGAGUGAAGAAGGUUUUCGGAUCGUAAAACUCUGUUGUUAGAGAAGAACAAGUGCUAGAGUAACUGUUAGCGCCUUGACGGUAUCUAAUCAGAAAGCCACGGCUAACUACGUG